UGAAGAAGCAAUUCCUUGUAGAAGCUGAUGGUCACAGAGCUGGAUCGAAUGGCAACGAAGAUGGUUCAAAGAGCAUCUAUGUGUGACUUAAAGGACUGCUGCCAGAGGGCAAUCAAUGCCUGCCUGGAUGAUUCAGUAAGACGAGGACUCAUUAGGGAUGCAGCAAUUCUACUGCUGCCUUCCAUUUUCAGAGAGGACUCAUCUUUUCUAUACACUCUACUGUAGGAGCCAAGCGUGCCUACUCCAGCAAUCAUGCUCCAUAACACACACGAGGGGAACCCUUUGCAGGCACAAAGGAUAACCCUAUACCUGGAUGGUAUACAGGUUUUGACUGAGGACAGCAGCAUGGACAAAUCAUAUGCUAUGAGUGCAUUAAUGUCACUCUAUAUUGUUUUUGCUGUCCAGUACCCAAAGGAACUGAGAAAAACUCUUAUUUUCAUUGAAAGAUUUGUGUUGGGGAUCAAGGACCACAGUGUUGUACCCAUUUCAGUGAAGAGACUAUACAACUGUGUCAGAAGUGGGGAGUAGUGAGUAGAUGUGUUGCAGCAUGGGAUUUCAUGCUUUAUGUUCUUGUUAAUGGUCAAAUUCCUGCUGCUGCCCUUUGUUUGUACAUAUUGAUAAAAAAAAAUAUCCCUUAUUUAAUACAUA